UGGGCGUUUGAUCAUGGCUCAGGACGAACGCUGGCGGCAUGCCUAAUACAUGCAAGUCGAGCGAAUGACGAAGAAGCUUGCUUCUUCUGAUUUAGCGGCGGACGGGUGAGUAACACGUGGGCAACCUGCCCUGUAGAUUGGGAUAACUCCGGGAAACCGGGGCUAAUACCGAAUAAUCCAUUUCCUCUCAUGGGGAGAUGUUAAAAGACGGUUUCGGCUGUCACUACAGGAUGGGCCCGCGGCGCAUUAGCUAGUUGGUGAGGUAACGGCUCACCAAGGCGACGAUGCGUAGCCGACCUGAGAGGGCGAACGGCCACACUGGGACUGAGACACGGCCCAGACUCCUACGGGAGGCAGCAGUGGGGAAUAUUGCGCAAUGGGCGAAAGCCUGACGCAGCGACGCCGCGUGAGGGAUGAAGGCCUUCGGGUUGUAAACCUCUUUCAGCUCCGACGAAGCGAAAGUGACGGUAGGAGCAGAAGAAGCACCGGCCAACUUCGUGCCAGCAGCCGCGGUAAUAGCU
rnacentral:rRNA from 1 species